GACAAUCUCCUUAUUCAUUUCACAUGCUAAUUAAAAACUCCCAAGAUAGGAUACAAGCAACUGCUCUUAGUGAAAUACUGUUAGCACCAUCAAGCUAUCUGAAACAUCCACAACUGCAAUAUUUAAUAUGUACAACAAUUAUAUGCUCUUGUUAUAAUUCAGACCAGCUUUAGCGCUGCUAAAUAAAGAAACUUUCAGGCACACACUUGGAGACUAAAACAACGAAUACAAUCAUAUUUUAUGUUAGAGCACCUUCUAUGAAAUUAAGAAACAAUAAUUUCAAAGAUUGGCUGACGGGAGUGAUGGCUGCAUUGGCUGCACCAGUUCUCUUCUUUGCCGAACGACUCCCCAAACCCCACAAUGUGGGAUAGUAGAUAUUACUGGAUAUGCUGUUGUUGUAAUUUCAAAGAUUAUCAAAAGUAGCAUGCAAAAUUUCUCACCUCUUAACAGGAUACGGUCUUACAGUACUUCAAGUUAAAUUAGCCUAUGACCCUCUUGGUGUAAUUCAGAAUUUUUUAAGUCACACUAAGACGCAUAAGUAUGAAAAAAAUCAAGUCUAAGAAUGAAACCAACCACUUUCUUAUGAUGCUAGCAAAAUAGAAGAUGCAGAAUUAUAACCGAUUCAGCAACCUAAAAAUGAUUAAUGUGAUGCAAUAUCAAAGGCUUAUAAUUGUAGGCCUACAACUUCGAACGAAAAUGGACAUAAGACCCUUCUCAUUUUACUAAGAGUCAAUUAAAAAUCCUCAUAGCUUCUUCAGUCAUGCCAUUGGGGGUCACUGCCUUAGUACCUCUGUAUUGAGUCGUCGUAUUCCUAUUCAAUCUCAUUGUAUUGCCAGAAAAAAAUAAUUAUUCUUUAUUGCUACUUUUAUAAUUUAAAUUAAAGUAAUAUAUAUUCCACCUAUUAUUUACUCCCAAAAAAAAUCAAUUUCAAAAUUUUUUCUUGCAAUAAUGGAUAAAUUCAUGCCAAAAAUAAACAAUCUAAUUUCUAAAUUUCAAGAUUUCUUUUUGCAAUAAAUGGAUAAAUUCAUGCCAAAAAUAAACAAUCUAAUUUCUAAAUUUCAAGUUUAUGCUCAUGGUAGUGCUAAGGACAGAGGAGUAUCAAUGUGAUGCUAUUAUAGCCAUCUCUAAAAGAACAUAUCGGAUUUUCCGAAAGAACAUUUUAUCAAACACUUUAUAAGUGUCAAUACCAUUCUUUCAUGCUUUUUCAGAAGUAAUUUAAUACCAAUUGUGUUGUCGUUCACAAGUCAACGUCUGAGCAUAAAAAAAAUAGAACAUCACAAUCAUCUGAAAAGUCACCAUCACAGCAUCACCAAAAUAGACCCGAGGAACAAUACAGUAAGUAGAUAAAAUAUAUUACAUAGAGUGCACAUGUAUACAUUACACUUGCUAAGGCAUAUACAAACAGACUCAUCACCACUCUUGAAGUACCCAUUUGAAGUAGGGUGCUUGUUCAUAUGCAUUCAAUGAUUUCCAUCAAACCCAUCCGAAGGGAACUGAGCAAUAAACUACUCUUCAGUAUCUCUGAGUCUCCAAUCAAUGGUAUCCAUAACAACUAAUCAAUAUUCGGAGACGACAAACAAAAACAGCUAAAAUUCAAUGUUCGAAACGAUAAAAUUAAUCUAAAUGUUAUAUUAAUAUGAAGAGUUUCAAGGUCGUAUAUGCUAUUUGCAGAAGACAUCGGAAUCAGAUGGAAAACAAGAGGACGAUGAAACAAGCAAUUUGCUUAUUCCUCCGCCUCACCUCUUAGGGAUGCUUUGCAAAGACAAAGAGCAGAAGGUAAGAGGAGAACUAAGAAAGAGCGGAUGAGGUCAUGAGGAACACGAGACACUCGGUGCUUCGGCGGACGAAAAUGUUGACCAGCAACGGAGAGAAACACAGAGACAGAGAGCAAAUGAUGGAAGGCUGGUCGGCCACCACCCAAGAGCAAAACACUAUAAGGAAACCUAAGUGUAUAAAUGUAAUUGUGCCGAAAGGUGGACGACGAAGAGGAGCUUUACUCCCGCUUCUAAAUAGUAGUAAAGUAAAGUAAAGUAAUAUACGAAGUGAUUCACUAAAACUUUAUAUUUUGUCAUAAUAAUUGAAGGUUUU
rnacentral:lncRNA from 1 species